rnacentral:misc_RNA from 1 species
AGUAUCAGAUCUUGCAGACUUCCACUGCGUGUCCCUCUGUACAGCUUUGCAGGCUCCGGCCUCGGCAGCGGGGGGUUCAUAGUGGUCGUCGACCUCCACGAAACUGCACGCUCCGGCGUGACAGCGUACUGGGGAUGCCUGUGUAGAUGCAGUCCGGGCUUGCCUGGACCGCUAGCAGAUGGGCUCUGUGGAUGACUGGCCGCUGGCUAGACCUGAAACCUGAGCAACGGGAGGUAACCUCUCGCCGCGGACACCGGAAUGGUAGAAGCGGCGUGCUGCGUCCUCCUCUUGGGGCCCCUAAGCCACACCUCCCAUAGCGGGUUCGGUGCGGCGGACGGACGCCCUGGGGAAUUUAGAGGGGGAAAGCGGAUUGCCCUAGCGGUGUUGUUGGCCCUGCCGAC